rnacentral:rRNA from 1 species
GGUGGCUAUAGCGAAGGUGUUCACCUCUUCCCAUUCCGAACAGAGAAGUUAAGCCCUUCAGCGCAGAUGGUACUGCAUUUCGUGGGAGAGUAUGUCGCCGCCA